UACGUAGGGGGCAAGCGUUGUCCGGAAUCAUUGGGCGUAAAGCGCGUGUAGGCGGUUCGGUAAGUCUGCUGUGAAAGUCCAGGGCUCAACCCUGGGAUGCCGGUGGAUACUGUCGGACUAGAGUACGGAAGAGGCGAGUGGAAUUCCCGGUGUAGCGGUGAAAUGCGCAGAUAUCGGGAGGAACACCAAUUGCGAAGGCAGCUCGCUGGGACGGUACUGACGCUGAGGUGCGAAAGCGUGGGGAGCAAACAGG
rnacentral:rRNA from 1 species